rnacentral:lncRNA from 1 species
GAGUUCAGCGGUUCAAGCAAUUGAUUGGAGCUCUAACAAUUCAAAGGAGUUUCUAGACAGGGAAAUUGCCAAUUUUCCAUAUAAUUAAAGGUAGAACAAUUGUUUGCUUCUACCACAUCACCCAUAAAUUAUAAAACAAAAGAAAUAGCUGGUCAAGAGAUUUAUUGCAUAACAGUGAAGCACGAAGACCACCAGCUACUCAGAGUAUACUACAUCUGCAUGUGAAACCUUUCCUUUGUCCAUUUCUUGGCCCAAAACAUCAUUCUCCAGCCACAAGGCAGCAAGAACAAAUCCAAAAAUUCCUGUGAAUGAAACAGACAGAAACAUAUUUAUUCAGCUAACAUGGCAACAUAAUACGAGUAUUCAAAAAAAUGGUGGAUUAACUAUAGCAGCCCCAUCAUCUGGUUGCAAUAGGCACUACUGGGCUUAUAAACUGGUGGUAUACAAGUGCAUGUGCAUACAAGGCAGAAGAAUGAGAGCUAAAUGGAUAUGGUCACACAAUAAGAGCCAAUAAGCUGGAACAGAAAUGUUUCAGAAAUACUCAUUUUCACCUUUACUGACCACCACCAACUAUUUCUGAACACUAGACAAAGUACUUCUGCACAGCUUGUACUACAAAUCUGUAAUUUCUAGUAUAUGAUGCACUACUACACUCUGCCACCAUCAUACAGGAUCUCCUAUGCAGACUCGAUGCUGGUAAAAAUAGUAAGGCACUCGUUGGAAAACGGCAAGUCCACAAGUGGCAGAUCAAUUAUGCAGUGCUAUACUAUGUCUCAAUAUGACUGUAUGCAAUCUAGUAAUAGCUACUCAUGUAUGUUGAAUGAUCCUUAUGAGGAAAAGAUGACUCAAAAGUUCAUUGCAUUAACAACUGUACAUGUUGUUACAGAUUAAUUUUCUACAUAGUGAUUAAGGAUGUUUGCUCCAGAUAAAUAUCAAGAGAAAAAUUAGGACUUCAUGCCUUGUUAGUUUAGAAUAACUUUUCUAAUGAACAUCCAUAAAAAUGUUUAAAGCUACAUUAUUCCUGAUAAUUAGCUAAGAUACAUCCAGUCCUAACAGAUCAGAGAAUAAGUGGACUGCAGUUCAACUGCAGUGAACAAGCAAACACAGAUCAAGAGAGGGAAAGACUGUUGGACCAGUGGUGUACAUCGUUUCGAAUCAACCAAGUAAUAAGCAUUGAGUUUCACAUCAACAUUGUUCAUCCGAACCAUAGAAAUUGAUGCACCGCACUUAACCAGACAAUAAACAUCAAACAGAGGUAAAUGAUUCAGCUGGCGUGGGAACUGGAGUGAACACAAUACUAGAUCGAUUGCCCGCACGUCAUCAAUCCCCAAGGCCCGCCCAAAUCGGACGGAGACCUACUCGAAAACCCCCGGGGAUUGGCAGGAGAAAUCAGCUUACCUUCUCUGCUGGGCGGAUGAGGGGCCGGUUUGCCGUGGUUCUUGGAGAUGGUGGAGGACCGGUGGGUAGCGACCGAAGUGGAGGAGCUCGAGGAGGCGGACGGACGGGGAACCGCUGGCGGGAGUGAGGGUGGCGUUGACGACAGGGGUGCCGACGGAGGAAGUGGGCGACGGACUCGGUGGGGGCGCCGUCGCUGCAUGCACGGAAGAUCUCCGAGGGGUGGGUCGAACCACUCGCCCCCAAGGUUCGAGUGCUUUCGAUCCGCUAACCCUAACCUU